rnacentral:snoRNA from 1 species
AGACCAUGAUGUAGACACUUUUGGAGUAGAUCUCUGUAUCUUUCCCAUGCUUUCAUACAAUGACUCAUUAUUGAAUUGAGUGAAAGCGGUGAUGUCAUUUCUUAGCUU